UGGGGAAUAUUGCGCAAUGGGCGAAAGCCUGACGCAGCGACGCCGCGUGAGGGAUGAAGGUUUUCGGAUCGUAAACCUCUGUCAGAAGGGAAGAAACCGCACUGUGCUAAUCAGCAGUGCCUUGACGGUACCUUCAAAGGAAGCACCGGCUAACUCCGUGCCAGCAGCCGCGGUAAUACGGAGGGUGCAAGCGUUAAUCGGAAUUACUGGGCGUAAAGCGCACGUAGGCUGCUUUGUAAGUCAGGGGUGAAAUCCCACGGCUCAACCGUGGAACUGCCUCUGAUACUGCUUAGCUUGAAUCCGGGAGAGGGUGGCGGAAUUCCAGGUGUAGGAGUGAAAUCCGUAGAUAUCUGGAGGAACAUCAGUGGCGAAGGCGGCCACCUGGACCGGUAUUGACGCUGAGGUGCGAAAGCGUGGGGAGCAAACAGG
rnacentral:rRNA from 1 species